AUUGAACGCUGGCGGCAGGCCUAACACAUGCAAGUCGAGCGGAUGAAGGGAGCUUGCUCCUUGAUUCAGCGGCGGACGGGUGAGUAAUGCCUAGGAAUCUGCCUGGUAGUGGGUGAUAACGUCCGGAAACGGGCGCUAAUACCGCAUACGUCCUGAGGGAGAAAGUGGGGGAUCUUCGGACCUCACGCUAUCAGAUGAUCCUAGGUCGGAUUAGCUAGUUGGUGGGGUAAAGGCCUACCAAGGCGACGAUCCGUAACUGGUCUGAGAGGAUGAUCAGUCACACUGGAACUGAGACACGGUCCAGACUCCUACGGGAGGCAGCAGUGGGGAAUAUUGGACAAUGGGCGAAAGCCUGAUCCAGCCAUGCCGCGUGUGUGAAGAAGGUCUUCGGAUUGUAAAGCACUUUAAGUUGGGAGGAAGGGCAGUAAGUUAAUACCUUGCUGUUUUGACGUUACCAACAGAAUAAGCACCGGCUAACUUCGUG
rnacentral:rRNA from 1 species